rnacentral:rRNA from 1 species
UGGGGAAUAUUGGACAAUGGACCAAGAGUCUGAUCCAGCAUUCUGUGUGCACGAUGACGUUUUUCGGAAUGUAAAGUGCUUUCAGUUGGGAAGAAAAAAAUGACGGUACCAACAGAAGAAGUGACGGCUAAAUACGUGCCAGCAGCCGCGGUAAUACGUAUGUCACGAGCGUUAUCCGGAUUUAUUGGGCGUAAAGCGCGUCUAGGUGGUUAUGUAAGUCUGAUGUGAAAAUGCAGGGCUCAACUCUGUAUUGCGUUGGAAACUGUGUAACUAGAGUACGGAGGGGUAAGCGGAACUACAAGUGUAGAGGUGAAAUUCGUAGAUAUUUGUAGGAAUGCCGAUGGGGAAGCCAGCUUACUGGACAGAUACUGACGCUGAAGCGCGAAAGCGUGGGUAGCAAACAGGAUUAGAUACCCUGGUAGUCCACGCCGUAAACGAUGAUUACUAGGUGUUGGGGGUCGAACCUCAGCGCCCAAGCAAACGCGAUAAGUAAUCCGCCUGGGGAGUACGUACGCAAGUAUG